rnacentral:lncRNA from 7 species
CAAAAUAGCAGCCAAAGCCACGAGAAUCAAGAAGUCAGUGAAGAGCAGGAAAGGAAUGGAGGAAUCUGGCCAGAGCUGUGCCCCUGCUUGCCACAGGAGCUGCGCGGGAGGAGAAGAAUGUGGGCCAAAAGGUAAGAGGAGCUCCUUUGGGUUCUGGGCUUGAAGCAAAGCUGAGAAGCCAUGCCCGGGAGGAGGUGUGGGUAGCUACAGGCCACCUUGCUAUCUCCCCAAGAGAUGAGGUGUGUGGGCUAGGCACCGGGCAGGAGUGCUGGCCAGAAGCAAGCAUCUCUGUGGAGGAAGGCAAAGGGCGGAGGAGGUUCAAGGGUAGCUACCGGGCAUGGCCUUGCUCAGCAAGGGGAGGAAAAGCCUGAAGGGCACGAGAAGGGACAGAGAAGGGCAGGCAGUAGGCGUGAAGCUGUGAGCAGAGUAGAGAGCAACUUGGCGAGCAGCAAGCAGAGUAGGCAAGUGCUGAGGUUUGGCGUGAGUAGCAGCAAAAGCCCAUAGCAUCAAGAAGCAGGAAGUGAGGAGAAGGUAAGUGAAGGGCAGGCAAGGUAAUGGGAGCAAAGGCAAGGGGAAAGGGGAGGGUAAGGGAGAAAGAGGGGAUGGGGAGGGGAGGGGAUGGGUGAAGAGCAGAGCGGAGGGAAGGGCUGAGGGGAGGGCUGAAGGCAAACCAAUGAUGAAAAAGAAAAGAAAAUAAGAACAAAAAAUAUGAAAUAAGAGAAAAAAAAAGAAAAAUAAGAAAAAGAAAAAAGAA